GCUAGUAAUGGCAGGUCAGCAUACUGCCGUGAAUACGUUCCCGGGCCUUGUACACACCGCCCGUCACACCAUGAGAGUUGGAAAUACCCGAAGCCUGUGAGCUAACUGUAAAGAGGCAGCAGUCGAAGGUAGAGCCAAUGAUUGGGGUGAAGUCGUAACAAGGUAGC
rnacentral:rRNA from 1 species